UCUCCGUUGGUGAACCAGCGGAGGGAUCAUUACUGAGUACUACACUCUCUACCCUUUGUGAACUAUUAUACCUGUUGCUUCGGCGGCGCCCGCGAGGGUGCCCGCCGGUCUCAUCAGAAUCUCUGUUUUCGAACCCGACGAUACUUCUGAGUGUUCUUAGCGAACUGUCAAAACUUUUAACAACGGAUCUCUUGGCUCCA
rnacentral:misc_RNA from 1 species